CUAGAUGAGAAUCAAGCCACUAUCAACGCAUGUCCGGCCAGAUGGUCAAGUAGUUCUUCAAAAAAAAAUUGUUCCGGAUUCAACCAGGACAAAUUUUACACUAGAAUCAAACGUAUAAAAGACUAAUCUUAGAAAAUAAAGAUAAUAGAAAAUAGACGAAAACAACAAACAGAGGUUGAAGAUUGGACAUUGUUUUUAAACAAGAGCAAACUACUUGGAAAAGUUCAAUAUUUAUUUGUUUAAAUGUAUCCAUGCCACCAACGACCAGGCCAAUUUCCUGUCCGUCGACCUGUCCAAUAUCCAGUUCAUCAACCAGGCCAAUGUCCAGCCAAUUUACCAGUCCAAUAUCCAGCCCAAUGUCUAGCCCAUCAACCAGUCCAUUGUCAAGCCCAUCGACCAGUCCAAUGGCCAGUCAAUCGACCAAUGCAGUGGCCUGUCCAUCGACCAUUUCAAUGUUAAUCAACUAGUUUAAUGUCCAUUCCAGCGCCAGUUUAAUGUCCUGUUUAACGACCAGUCUAACAACCAGUUCAAUGUCAAGUGAAAUGAAGCGCAUCCGCCAGUCACAGGUCCAGUAUGUUUAUCGACCAGAUGACCAGUUUCAAGACUAGCCCAGUGCUACGACCUAUUCAAUUUCAAGUCUACCUAUAAUGUAAUAUGCUUCAAUAUUUAUGAAAUUUCUCUAAAAAAAAUUGUAAACGUUAAAUUCGUAUUUACAAAUUUAUCAUCAUCAUCAUCAUCAUCAUCACUCCUUUGAGUUCCUCAUGGAACAUAGGGCCUCGACAAAAACACGCCACUCUCCACGGUCUCUUGCUAGUUUUUUGAAGGUUUCCCAGCUCUUCCCGGUCUUCUCUGCUUCUUCAAGUACACUGCAUCGCCAUGUUCUUUUUGGUCUUCCUCUGCGUCUUGUUCCCUGGGGGUUUCACUCUAAGGCCUGCCUAGCUCUGUUGCUGGUAUCUUUUCUAAGGGUGUGACCAAUCCAUCUCCACUUCCUCUCUAAGAUCUGCACUUCUAUAUUUUUCUGUCCACUCAUUUCCCACAGUUUGGUGUUUUCUACUUUGUCAUACCAGUGUCUUUUUAGGAUAUUUCUCAGGCAUCUGUUUAUCGACCAGAUGACCAGUUUCAAGACUAGUCCAGCUUUUUAUGUCCAGUGCUAAGACCUUUUCAAUUUCAAGUUACCUAUAAUGCAAUAUGCUUCAUUAUUAUGAAAUUUCUCUAAAAAAAUUGUAAACGUUUAAUUUGUAUCUACAAAUGUACUCGUAUGUAACACCCCCCCCCCGGCCGCAUUUAUUAUGUCAAUUAUUUUCUUUUUAUAAUAACGCUUGUUACGACCUGCAUAUUUCUUGGGUGUUAUCAGUUUUUUUUUUAAUCGAUUUUAAAAAAAUUAUUUCUACUCAUCUCAUCGUCAUGAAACUUUGUAUACAAAAUUAUGAUCGAUGACAACAUAUAUGAAUCAAUAAAACCAAAUCAGCCAAUCA